GGUGAGAUGGCCGAGCGGUCUAAGGCGCCAGACUAAGGUUCAUUCACAUGUUAUCUGGUCCGAAAGGGCGUGGGUUCAAAUCCCACUCUCAUCA
rnacentral:tRNA from 1 species